AUAGUACUCCCUCCGUCCCAAAAUAAGUGUCUCAACAUUGUACUACUAAAGUUGUACUAAGAUUGAGACACUUAUUUUGGGACGGAGGGAGUACUAA
rnacentral:pre_miRNA from 1 species